GUGUCAGCCGCCGCGGUAAUACGGAGGGUGCGAGCAUUAAUCGGAUUUAUUGGGCGUAAAGGGCGCGUAGGCGGGGACGUAAGUCGGAUGUGAAAUCCCGGGGCUCAACCCCGGAACAGCAUUUGAUACUGCGUUUCUAGAGGGUAGGCGGAGAAAAUGGAAUUCCACAAGUAGCGGUGAAAUGCGUAGAUAUGUGGAAGAACACCGGUGGCGAAAGCGGUUUUCUAGCUUAUACCUGACGCUGAGGCGCGAAAGUAAGGGGAUCAAACAGGAUUAGAUACCCUGGUAGUCCUUACUAUAAACGAUGUAUACUUGGUGUAACCGGACUCAACCCUGGUUGUGCCGUAGCUAACGCGAUAAGUAUACCGCCUGGGGAGUACAGUCGCAAGGCUGAA
rnacentral:rRNA from 1 species